AAUCAAUUAAAAAAUACUUUAUUUCUAAGUUAUUACACCAAAUUAAGUAGGCAACUACUCAGAAAAAGAUACUAGGUCUCGAUUGUGAUGAAGAAGAAGUGGGCUAAGAUUUUAUUAGACACAUAUAAAUCCAAAUGGAAAAAUAUUUAGAAUAAUUAAAGAGAAUGCAAAGAGGCAAGUCUAAUCUAAUUGGUAUGGCAUAGAUUUGUUAUAGUUAACCUAUGGAGGGAUCAAUUGAGCAAUAAUGUAGAUUAGUGAUAUUCCAUGUGAUAUACUAGAAAGAAAAGAAAAAAAAAAACAAUAGUCAUGUAUUGCUUCUAGGCAUACAAUUUGAUAUUUUGUGCAUAGCUAUGUGGCCUUA
rnacentral:lncRNA from 1 species